rnacentral:rRNA from 1 species
CACGUAGGGCGCAAGCGUUGUCCGGAAUUAUUGGGCGUAAAGAGCGCGCAGGCGGUCUAUCAAGUCAGAUGUGAAAUAUCCCGGCUUAACCGGGAGGGGUCAUUUGAAACUGGUAGACUAGAGUACAGCAGAGGAUAGCGGAAUUCCCGGUGUAGUGGUGAAAUGCGUAGAUAUCGGGAGGAACACCAGUGGCGAAGGCGGCUAUCUGGGCUGAAACUGACGCUGAGGCGCGAAGGCUAGGGGAGCAAACAGG